rnacentral:rRNA from 1 species
UACGUAGGCAGCGAGCGUUGUUCGGAAUUACUGGGCGUAAAGAGUGUGUAGGCGGUGUUCCCAGUCUGUUGUGAAAUCUCCCGGCUUAACUGGGAGGGUGCAGCGGAAACUAGAAUGCUAGAGGGUGGGAGAGGUAAGCGGAAUUCCUGGUGUAGCGGUGAAAUGCGCAGAUAUCAGGAAGAACACCCGUGGCGAAGGCGGCUCUCUGGGACGGUACUGACGCUGAGACGCGAAAGCGUGGGGAGCGAACAGG